AUACGUAGGUGACAAGCGUUAUCCGGAUUUACUGGGCGUAAAGGGCGUGUAGGCGGUCUUGCAAGUCAGAAGUGAAAUUCCUGAGCUCAACUCGGGCGCUGCUUCUGAAACUGCAGGACUUGAGUGCUGGAGGGGAUAGCGGAAUUCCUAGUGGAGCGGUAAAAUGCGCAGAUAUUAGGAAGAACACCGGUGGCGAAGGCGGCUAGCUGGACAGCAACGGACUCUGCGGCUCGAAAUCGUGGGGAGCAAACAGGAUUAGAUACCCUGGUAGUCCACGCCGUAAACGAUUAAUACUAGGUGUAGGGGGUAUCGACUCCCUCUGUGCCGCAGUUAACACAAUAAGUAUUCCGCCUGGGGAGUACGGCCGCAAGGUUGAAACUCAAAUGAAUUGACGGGG
rnacentral:rRNA from 1 species